GCAAGUUUCACUGGAUGAUGUGGAUUAUAAUGUGCUUUUUGUGUAUGUCCUACUUUGUGGCAUUCUGUGCAAGAUUCAACUUUAAACUUGCAUUGGUCUGGGAUAUGUGGGCCCCUGCAACAAUGAGCCAGAUGGUACCC